UACCUCUCAGGCCCAUUCCUGGAGAGUUUUCAGUACUCUACCAGUUUCGGCUACAGGAGGGAGAGUCAAGCAGAGGCAUACCCAUUCCAUUCCUAGCUUGAGCAGUGGCUAGCGAGCAGAAGGUAAACUGCUACAGGU